rnacentral:rRNA from 1 species
GAUGAACGCUGGCGGCGUGCCUAAUACAUGCAAGUCGAGCGAACGGACGAGAAGCUUGCUUCUCUGAUGUUAGCGGCGGACGGGUGAGUAACACGUGGAUAACCUACCUAUAAGACUGGGAUAACUUCGGGAAACCGGAGCUAAUACCGGAUAAUAUUUUGCACCGCAUGGUUCAAAAGUGAAAGACGGUCUUGCUGUCACUUAUAGAUGGAUCCGCGCUGCAUUAGCUAGUUGGUAAGGUAACGGCUUACCAAGGCAACGAUGCAUAGCCGACCUGAGAGGGUGAUCGGCCACACUGGAACUGAGACACGGUCCAGACUCCUACGGGAGGGAGCAGUAGGGAAUCUUCCGCAAUGGGCGAGAGCCUGACGGAGCAGCGCCGCGUGAGUGAUGAAGGUCUUCGGAUCGUAAAACUCUGUUAUUAGGGAAGAACAUAUGUGUAAGUAGCUGUGCACAUCUUGACGGUACCUAAUCAGAAAGCCACGGCUAACUACGUG